UACGUAGGUCACAAGCGUUGUCCGGAUUUAUUGGGCGUAAAGGGAGCGCAGGCGGUUUGUUAAGUCUGAUGUGAAAGCCCACGGCUCAACCGUGGAACAGCAUUGGAAACUGGCAAACUUGAGUAUAGAAGAGGAAAGUGGAAUUCCAUGUGUAGCGGUGAAAUGCGUAGAUAUAUGGAGGAACACCAGUGGCGAAGGCGACUUUCUGGUCUAUAACUGACGCUGAGGCUCGAAAGCGUGGGGGGAGCGAACAGGAUUAGAUACCCUGGUAGUCCACGCCGUAAACGAUGAGUGUUAAGUGUUGGGGGGCUUCCACCCCUCAGUGCUGGCGUUAACGCAAUAAACACUCCGCCUGGGGAUACGACCGCAAGGUUGAAACUC
rnacentral:rRNA from 1 species